rnacentral:lncRNA from 1 species
CGUCUCUUUUCCACCCCAGGAACGCCUGCACAGAGACCUCGGCUCGAGCCCCAUCCCUGAAUCCUCUCUGGUGCUUUGUGGGACUGACCUGGGCAGAUGCAGACCUUAAAACCACCUCCCACUAUCCCAGGCUGCUCCAAGCCCUGUCCAACCUGACCUGGAACACUCCCAGGGAUCCAGGGGCAGCCACAUCCUGCUCCAGGACACCCUGUGCCAGGACCUUACCACCCCUCACAGGGAGGAAUUCCUCCCCAGUAUCCCCUCUAACCCUGCCCUCUGGCAGUUUAAAGCCAUUGUCCCUUGUCCUGGCACUCCAGGUCUCUCUCCAUCCUUCCUGCAGCUCCUUCAGGCACUGGAAGGCCACAGUCAGGUCACCCCAAACUCUCUCUUCUCCAGGAUGGACAACCCCAAUCCUGCCUGAAGGUCAAGGCACAAGGAAGGGCACCAGGAGGUAAAGCUGGCAGGGGUGACCCAGACGUGGUUUAGCUCCUCGUCCUGCCCUGAGUCUCCACGUGACAUCAGGCAAAAGUGGGUUCAGUGACCUGGGACAGACCUUCCCCAAAAAAACCCAACAAAAAAAUCUUCACUUCAAGGUGAACCAACCAAAUUCUCAACAGAACCAAAGGAUGUGAGGCUAAACUGACCAGUUUUCAUCAAACAGCAUCGCCAACCUGCUGAGUGCUGACUUCAGGCUCUCCCUGUCCUCCCCACAGGGACCCAACAGCACCAGCGCCGCUCGCAGGGGAAGGGGAAAAAAAAAAUACAAAAGGAGAAAAAAAACCCCAAAACAACACCAUGUAAAACCUUCCAAAAAUGUUGCACGGAAAGUGGCCACUCAGCAGAGCGAGGUUUCCUGCGCAGUGAGAGUUGGCCGGGGACAGAACAGGAAAUCACUGCUUCCUGCCUGCAGAGGAAGCGCCUAUCGCAUGCCCGUGAUCAAAAACAAACAGCACUUCAAUUAAACAAACAAAGGACCGAAAACUUCAGCAGCUCCAGCCUGGGUCGGCUCCAGCCGCAGGGAAACGCGUCCAAAAAUAAGAGGGUAACCAGAGAGCUGCCCAAAACUGCUGGAUUUAGUAGAGAUCAAGAACAAAUGAUACAAACAAACACGGCUGCACUGGGACAGAGGGAACUGGUCCCAGUCAGACCAGAAAUGGGAUUUUAUGGAGGGAAAAACUCAAAACUCCAUCAAACCUACUCUGAAUUAUCCUACGACAGACUGCACAGGCUCUCUAAGGACUUUGAGCUCUGCAGGUCCCCUAAAGAGCUUCCAGUCGUGUUUUGAGCAGUUCUGUGCUGCAGAACACAGGAGAAUUCUUACAUUUGUUCCACAAGAACAUGCUGUGCUCCAGCAGCUACCUGAACCGCCACAGAGCCCCAGACGGUCUUAGUGAAGCCCUAACGAGCAAUAAAAAUGUUCUUUUAUGCCUUGUUUGAUCA